CCUACGGGAGGCUGCAGUGGGGGAUAUUGCACAAUGGGGGAAACCCUGAUGCAGCGACGCCGCGUGUGGGAAGACGGUCCUCUGGAUUGUAAACCACUGUCCCCAGGGACGAAGAUGACGGUACCUGUGGCGGAAGCUCCGGCUAACUACGUGCCAGCAGCCGCGGUAAUACGUAGGGCGCGAGCGUUUUCCGGAAUUACUGGGUGUAAAGGGAGCGUAGGCGGGACUGCAAGUUGGGUGUAAAAUCUACCGGCUCAACCGGUAGCCGCACUCAAAACUGCAGUUCUUGAGUGAAGUAGAGGCAGGCGGAAUUCCUAGUGUAGCGGUGAAAUGCGGAGAUAUUAGGAGGAACACCAGUGGCGAAGGCGGCCUGCUGGGCUUUUACUGACGCUGAGGCUCGAAAGUGUGGGGAGCAAACAGGAUUAGAUACCCCAGUAGUC
rnacentral:rRNA from 1 species